rnacentral:rRNA from 1 species
UACGUAGGGGCAAGCGUUGUCCGGAUUAUUGGGCGUAAAGAGCGUGUAGGCGGUUAGGUAGGUCCGUUGUGAAAACUCGAGGCUCAACCUCGAGACGCCGAUGGAAACCAUCUGACUAGAGUCCGGAAGAGGAGAGUGGAAUCGUGGAUGUAGCGGUGAAUGACGCAGAUAUCAGGAAGAACACCCGUGGCUAAGGCGGCUCCUCUAGUACGUGACU